AAAACAUCAAAGAGAUAACAUCCCCAUUGUUCAUACUAUCUACCAUUGUUAAACAUAUAAGAAUGGAAAAUUUAGUUAGGAUCUUGUCACUUAAUGACAAUGAAUAGAGGUCCGAAUCAAAGAGACAAAAAAUUAUCUUGGAGACGUCAUAUUUCUAGAGUGAGACAUCAGUAUUCUUACAAAGGUAAAAAUGUCUACUAUUUUGGUAUGUUUGC
rnacentral:lncRNA from 1 species